rnacentral:piRNA from 1 species
UGAAAUAACAGGUGGACAUUUCAAUUGGU